UGGCCUGAGGGUGCCCUUGGCUCAUCCGGGGCCAGCCUGCUGGCUGCCCAGCUGGCAGUUCCGCUUGGCUCCAGGCCCUGGGGCUGAUUUGCCGGUGAGAAAAGAAUGGCCAGCAGUCAGCUCUAGCCUGCCACUGCUGCUGCCGCCAAGUCCCAGGGAGACGGGAGGGCAAGGCUCAGGCUGGCAAGACCCAUUCUGAGCCUCAGAGAAGCCACCCCCACUGCCUGCCUCCCGCCCACUCGGCUCGGCAGCACAGAGUGCUAUUGAUAAGAGCAGAGGAAGGUCACCCUCUGGGCAAAGCGGCCUCUUUCCCCAGAGUGAUGCUGUACCGCCCUGCCUGCCUCCCUCCCUCCCCAGAUGGAGGGAACUGGCUCUGGUUCAUUCUGGUCUAUCGUGGAUUUGGUGGCCCCUGCCCCCCAGGGAAGGCGUGUCACAGGGCCCAGCUCUAUCUUCUAGGGGCAAAGGGAGCACAGAGAACCAGUAGGGGGUCUUGGGCGGGGCAGCCUGCUCCAGUGGGACAAGCCCCAGGUUAGUAUCAGCUCUGUCUCCAUCCUGCUGGGGGACCUCUAGGCGAGUCACUUAUCCUUUCUGGGCCUCAGUUUCCUCAUAUGCAUUUCACGGAGAUGUGAGAAUAAAAUGAAAUAGUUGAGGUGAAAGCAUUCUGGAAAGAUUAAAAUGUGCUCUAUGGCAUUAAGUGCCUAUCACCAAAAAUUCAGAAUCAUUUUGGCAUGUCUCAGGCACAGUGCUCCCAAAACCCUUAAGUAUUAACAAUCAGUUGAAAUCUCCUCCGAUUGUAAUUUUUUAAAUUCCUCAUUCUGUAUUUGUAGUAUUUUUUGACUACCAUUCCCCUUUAUUUUUUAAAAAUGUCUAGAUCAUUUUGGAUGCCAAAUCAGAUUUCUGUGCCUCCGAGCACCUCGGGGAGGAGCUGGAUUAUACCGGCAGAUCCAUUAAACUUAACUGUUGCCUUUCAGAAGGGAAUGAGUAUUGGCUUUUAAAUCACCUCACAAAGGCCGUGUUGCAUUGAAGGGUGAGAAAUCAGAAAUUCCUGUUAGGCUGUAACUUCUGGAAGGUAGGCUCUGAGGAGAACUAGCAUCAGAAGACAGGUGUGGAAUUUUCUCUCAACUAGAGUGCUACUAAGACUCACGCUUAGAUCUCAGGUUGGAACUGAGGAGGGCCUUGACCCAGAACCUUCUUCCCACCCAGGUUAAAAUCACGCUGGAGGCUUAAACUUCCCGAACUCUCUGGAAUGACAAGUGCUGCCCGGAGCCAGGUGAUUCUCAUCCCUCCAGAUCUUCUGCCAUCCAGCACCUCCACUAGAGAACAGGGGUGAAGAAGGUAAAAAUGAUGGCAGCUCACUCUACCCACCACCUGAACUCUAGGAAAUUAAAAGCUUGUUUUGCUUUGAACCCCCAGCCACCUUGAAAUAAUCAGACUGUUUCUGGAGGCCCAAGUUUACAGGUCUGUAGAACUUCUCAACAUUAUCUUUAGGCUGCAGGCUUUCAGAUAAGCACUAGAGCAUAACAGCAGGAACUACUCAGAAGUUCAGAUGUUUCCACAAUAGGACAUCAUAGCUGGAAGGGGAGAUUUUUUCCUGGACCCCCAAUUCUCUAUCUGGGAGGAAGGAAGGAAGGAGGCAGAUUCUCUGUUCUUCAGAAAGAGGGGACAGCGCUGCACAAGGCAAAAGUCAGGUCUGUAGGCUCUCUAUCUCUCUCUCUCUCAUGAUGGGUACUCACAUUCCCAAGCUCCUAGAACACUGAAGACUGAAGAGGUCAAAUCUUUCCCCCUUCAUAAUGAAGGCAGAAUUAUCGCUGUUCGUCACUAAACCAUAUCAGUACAGGCUAGGGCUCUUAGCUCAACAUUUAACUCUGCCAGCUUCAAAAGACAACAAAAUAAAAUGUAUAAUGAAUUGUUAUAACUUGCAACUGUAUCCCUCUGAAUCAUCUAAAAAUGCUGACACACUUUUCUGUCAGUCAGCCCUACGGGAAUGAGACUCUCCUAAUACUUGUCUCUCCAGGAAAUUUGAGGAGGAUCUGGAAUCUCGGGGAGGGGAAGGAGAGAGGAGGUGAGAGAAUGAGGUGGAGGGGGGGAGGUGAGUUAACAUUGGUAAGCAGCUCUUAACUUUGUGACAGUAGUGGUUCCAGGGGUGAUGGGAGUGGUACUUCUCCAAUGGGGAUGGAGCUACUAAGGGUCUUUCUUCCUGUGAAUACCUCAGUCUACUUAGGGCUCAAUAAAUUGCCUGAACUUUUAACCCCCUGCGUGGGUGUGACCUUGAAGUAUGAUGGCUAUUAGCUCUAACAACUCUUUCCCAGAGGUUGCUUGUCAAGCCUCGGAGGCCCUCUCGAGGAUGCCAACCCUUCAGGUAAGGUACCACCCUAAGCCAGAUGGCUCUGUGCCAUGUCAAGCCCUUAUUGUUUCCCCGUUUCUCUCCCUUCACAAAGCCUUUAAAUCUGCCAUCGACUCAUUCAUCUCUCAUGCCCUGCCUGAAACCUUCUGAACAACCAUUCUUUUCCCUCUUUGUCCUGUCAACUGCUGUAGGUACAGAGGUGGGGGUGCUGAAAAAUACCAGCAGCAGGAUUGGGCUUCCUACCUAUAAAGACAGUAGGCAGCACUACCA